GUUUCGCUGGAAGGCUACGCAAGCACGCGAGUUGGAAGAGCACUGACAGAGGCAAUGCAUUAACUUUCUCCAGCUUCAAAGUUCAUUUGGUAUCCUAUUUAUACCAAAUGAAUUCCUCACUGCUUGAAGGAUUCACAGGUUCCUAGAUUUACAGUUACUUGUGACUUGGAGGUUAUCUAUUAAAAUAACCACUACAAGGCAGAAAUCCCUUCAAAGCCACCCCUGUUGGAAGAUCAAAGAGUCAGUGCCCUCCAAGAAACGACUUCCAGAAUGACAGAGUCCUGGAGCUGAGAGAGCCCUUUUGAGACCAUGCAGUUCAGCCUCUUCAAGCUACCAAAUAGAUCCUGGACCCGGAGGGCCUCUUCAAGAAGUGUCCGUUGGCAGAAUGCCAGUGGGACCAGGAAAGCCCAGCGUGUACCUGCCUAGAGGGCGUUACUGCCGGCGUCUCUGGUUCUCGCAAAUCUGACUCCCGUUUUACAAAGGUAACACGAGACUUAUCCAGAAGAAGAAAAAUAAACUACUGGCAGCUCAGGACAUCCAACAGAGUCAACAGUAAAAUAAUAUGCUUGUGAAACAGCUAUGUUGUAUCUCAAUGACAAAAUAUUUCAACGCCAUCACAG